rfam:Gorilla gorilla gorilla genomic chromosome, chr1, whole genome shotgun sequence
GCCAGGCAUGGUGGCAGGCGCCUGUAGUCCCAGCUACUCAGGAGGCUGAGGCAGGAGAAUAGUGUGAACCUGGGAGGCGGAUCUUGCAGUGAGCCGAGAUUGUGCCACUGCACUCCAGCCUGGGCGACANNNNNNNNNNUGUCGCCCAGGCUGGAGUGCAGUGGCACAAUCUCGGCUCACUGCAAGAUCCGCCUCCCAGGUUCACACUAUUCUCCUGCCUCAG